rnacentral:rRNA from 1 species
AUUGAACGCUGGCGGCAUGCUUUACACAUGCAAGUCGAACGGUAACAGGGAGCUUGCUCCGCUGACGAGUGGCGAACGGGUGAGUAAUGCGUCGGAACGUGCCGAGUAGUGGGGGAUAACGCAUCGAAAGGUGUGCUAAUACCGCAUACGUACUGAGGUAGAAAGUGGGGGACCGUCGGGCCUCACGCUAUUCGAGCGGCCGACGUCUGAUUAGCUAGUUGGUGAGGUAAAGGCUCACCAAGGCGACGAUCAGUAGCGGGUCUGAGAGGAUGAUCCGCCACACUGGGACUGAGACACGGCCCAGACUCCUACGGGAGGCAGCAGUGGGGAAUUUUGGACAAUGGGCGCAAGCCUGAUCCAGCCAUGCCGCGUGUCUGAAGAAGGCCUUCGGGUUGUAGAGGACUUUUGUCCGGGAGCAAAUGCCUGGUGUUAAUAGCAUCGGGAGCUGAGAGUACCGGAAGAAUAAGCACCGGCUAACUACGUGCCAGCAGCCGCCGUAACAC